AUUGAACGCUGGCGGCAGGCCUAACACAUGCAAGUCGAGCGCGAAAGUCUUCGGAUGAGUAAAGCGGCGAACGGGUGAGUAAUGCAUGGGAAUCUGCCUGGGUAGUGGGGGACAACGUCUCGAAAGGGACGCUAAUACCGCAUACGCCCUACGGGGGAAAGGGGGGGAUCUUCGGACCUCUCGCUAUCAGAUGAGCCCAUGUCAGAUAAGCUAGUUGGUAGGGUAAAGGCCUACCAAGGCGACGAUCUGUAACUGGUCUGAGAGGAUGAUCAGUCACACUGGAACUGAGACACGGUCCAGACUCCUACGGGAGGCAGCAGUGGGGAAUAUUGGACAAUGGGCGCAAGCCUGAUCCAGCCAUGCCGCGUGUGUGAAGAAGGCCCUUGGGUUGUAAAGCACUUUCAGUGGGGAGAAAGGUCUGGAACCUAAUACGUUUUGGAAUUGAUGUUACCACAGAAGAAGCACCGGCUAACUCCGUGCCAGCAGCCGCGGUAAU
rnacentral:rRNA from 1 species